rnacentral:lncRNA from 1 species
AAAAUAUAGUUUUAUGAUGCACAGUCUAAAGGAAAGAAGGUCUUUCCCUCUGCUUUCUCCAUCACUAUUUUAUGUUUUGUAUAACUGGAAGAAAUCUAUCAAAAUGUCUCUGAUGGAGAAAUGAUGAAGCAAUGAGCAAGUUUACAAACGGUUCUUAUUUGACAGCUGCCAUACUCACACUGCACUGUGUUUAGCCAGUAAGACUGCAGGGAGAAGAGGGGAAUCAAGAUAUUGGAAAGAAAGAACGGAAAAGCUCGAUUUUGCAAACUAUUUAAUUUUUGGAGCCAGUGCAUCAAAAGCCACUCUGGAGAGCCGUGCAGAACUGUAUCUGGGAGGAGCGUGGAGACACAUCUCUUGCUACAUAUGCAGACUGCCACUGGAGGAUGAAUAGGAAGCAGACCCGGCAGCAACAGCUCCUUGAGUGCUGUGAUCAAACAGGGCCAUCUACAACAAGGAGACUGAAAUCCCACCUUUUGUUCAUAGUGUGCUCUUGAAAUAAACAGAGAACAUAAAAACCA